GGCAAAGGGAGACGAUGACGCUCCGGGGGGAACGCGGUCACCUUGUACACGUCCCCGAAGCAGAGUCAAUGGUGAGACCGGUCCACAUGGUC
rnacentral:ncRNA from 1 species